rnacentral:rRNA from 1 species
UACGUAGGGUGCGAGCGUUAAUCGGAAUUACUGGGCGUAAAGCGUGCGCAGGCGGUUUUGUAAGACAGACGUGACAUCCCCGGGCUUAACCUGGGAACUGCGUUUGUGACUGCAAGACGAGAGUACGGCAGAGGGGGGUAGAAUUCCACGUGUAGCGGUGAAAUGCGUAGAUACGUGGAAGAACACCUGUGGCGAAAGCGGUUUUCUAGCCUACCCGAGACGCUGAGGCACGAAAGUUAGGGGAGCAAACAGG